GGUUUCAUGGUGUAAUGGUUGUACGUCACGCUUUACUCAAAGACAUCGACAUUUAUCACAAACUAACACUCUUUAGAGCACAUCGGAUUCUGAUUCCGGGGAUCUGGGUUCAAUUCCCGGUGAGACCU